AUUGAACGCUGGCGGCAGGCCUUACACAUGCAAGUCGAACGAGUGGCGGACGGGUGAGUACUGUCUCGGAACCUGCCCGAUAGCGGGGGAUAACUACUGGACACAGUAGCUAAUACCGCAUACUUUCAGAUCUGCCCAAAUGGGAUUAGCUAGUUGGUGGGGUAACGGCUCACCAAGGCGACGAUCCGUAGCUGGUGUGAGAGGAUGACCAGCCACACUGGAACUGAGACACGGUCCAGACUCCUACGGGAGGCAGCAGUGGGGAAUAGUGGACAAUGGGGGAAAACCUGAUGCAGCCAUGCCGCGUGUAUGAAGAAGGCCUUCGGGUUGUAAAGUACUUUCAGCAGGGAGGCGUUACCCGCAGAAUAAGCACCGGCUAACUCCGUGCCAGCAGCCGCGGUAAUAC
rnacentral:rRNA from 1 species